GUCUAUGGCCAUAUCCCCCCUGAACGUGCCCGAUCUCAUCUGAUCUUGGAAGCCAAGCAGGAUCGGGCCUCAUUAGUACUUGGAUGGGAGACAAGAAUUGACUACAAAAUGGAUU
ensembl:rRNA 5S_rRNA 5S ribosomal RNA